AUACAUACCUGGUAGGGAGAUACCAUGUUCAUGAAGGUGGUUUUCCCCAGAUGAGGCUCAUCCAUUGCACUGUGGGUGUGCUGAUCCCUGUGAUUUCCCCAAAUGUGGGAAACUCAACUUCAUAAUUUGUGGUAGUGGGGAACUGCCUUCACGCUCUCCCCUG
ensembl:snRNA U1 U1 spliceosomal RNA